CCCUAUGGGGUGCAGCAGGCAGGAAAUCUUCCGUGACAGGAGUCAGGUCGAUCCAGGGGAUGGGAAAGAGGUGAAUGGGCUCCGAAAGGACCACCCCUGAAGCUGCCGGGAGCAGCACAUAAAGCGCCCCGAAGGCCAGGCCUAUCAUGGCGCCGAUGGAAAAAACGCGCCAUUUCCAGCUCGUUUCCGCCCGGUCCGCCGAUUCCGCCAGCGCCAUGUUGCCGAGAGCCCCGACGGGGGCCAUGGGAAAAGGCAGCUUUUCCACAUCCGAAGUCAGGCGGUAGAGGGCAUAGCCCAAACCAAAAUGGUCGACGGCGGAUAUGAUUUCAAAGCCCAUCAUGAGAAGGAUGGGAACCAUCCAGUCGCGGUGGAAAAAGGUUCGAUCCACCAGGGAUUCGGAUCCGGCGGGAGAGC
rnacentral:rRNA from 1 species